rnacentral:rRNA from 1 species
AGUGAACGCUGGCGGUAGGCCUAACACAUGCAAGUCGAACGGCAGCACAGUAAGAGCUUGCUCUUACGGGUGGCGAGUGGCGGACGGGUGAGGAAUACAUCGGAAUCUACUUUUUCGUGGGGGAUAACGUAGGGAAACUUACGCUAAUACCGCAUACGACCUACGGGUGAAAGCAGGGGAGCUUCGGACCUUUCGCGAUUGAAUGAGCCGAUGUCGGAUUAGCUAGUUGGCGGGGUAAAGGCCCACCAAGGCGACGAUCCGUAGCUGGUCUGAGAGGAUGAUCAGCCACACUGGAACUGAGACACGGUCCAGACUCCUACGGGAGGCAGCAGUGGGGAAUAUUGGACAAUGGGCGCAAGCCUGAUCCAGCCAUACCGCGUGGGUGAAGAAGGCCUUCGGGUUGUAAAGCCCUUUUGUUGGGAAAGAAAAGCAGCAGGUUAAUACCCCGCUGUUCUGACGGUACCCAAAGAAUAAGCACCGGCUAACUUCGUG